rnacentral:rRNA from 1 species
AGAGUUUGAUCAUAGCUCAGGAUAAACGCUGGCGGCGCACAUAAGACAUGCAAGUCGAACGAACUUAACCAUUAGUUUACUAUUGGAGCGGUUAGUGGCGGACUGGUGAGUAACACGUAAGCAACCUGCCUAUCAGAGGGGGAACAACAGUUAGAAAUGACUGCUAAUACCGCAUAUGCCUUUAGAAUCACAUGGUUCAAAAGGGAAAGGAAGCAAUCCACUGAUAGAUGGGCUUGCGU